UACGAAGGGGGCUAGCGUUGUUCGGAAUUACUGGGCGUAAAGGGCGCGCAGGCGGUCCUUCAAGUCAGGCGUGAAAGCCCCGGGCUCAACCUGGGAAUGGCAAUGGAUACUGGCGAGCUAGAGUGUGUCAGAGGAUGGUGGAAUUCCCGGUGUAGCGGUGAAAUGCGUAGAGAUCGGGAGGAACACCAGUGGCGAAGGCGACUUCCUGGCCUGUUCUUGACGCUGAGGCGCGAAAGCUAGGGGAGCAAACGGG
rnacentral:rRNA from 1 species